rnacentral:sRNA from 1 species
UAUACGAGCAUUGUUGCGCAACGGAA